GCGUGGGAGAGGGGCUCGGAACGGAGGUCAGCUCGGCUCUGCCGGGAGAGACCCAGAUGUGCCGCGGCCGCUGUACGCGUUCCCUCCGAGCGGAGCCGGCGGGCAGCGGCGGACUCGCGUGGACGCGUCCGUAGACUUUGCCGUACCUCGACGGGAUGCGCGCCGGGGUGUGAUCCCGGUAAUGCCUCUAACGAGAGCGCUAAUUACAGGAGGACGAUUUGGCAAAUGAAGUGAGAGGAUGCACCCCCAGCCCCGAGCACCAGAUGAACUUUUCCAAACACACACGCACACACGCGGUAAUUUUGGUAUGCUCCCUCGGCCAAUCGCCGCGCUCAGCCCGAGCAUGCCUUACCCUAGCGCAGUCAAUUACCGGCGCUCCCCGGGCUCAUCAAUCACGGGGCGCCUCCAGUGAGGGGAGGAGCGAGCCUCCGACUAUCGAUCGCUGCAGUUUUGUCCUCCCCAGCCCCCAGCCUCGUUCACGGUCCCCUGCACAUAAAAUCUAAACCAGACUAUCCCGUUAAUAGCGGGAUUUAUCAAUGAUUGUGUACCCGGUGGUGAAUGUGGCCUCGUACAUAGGUGGCUUUUAGAAAUACACGGCAGAAAAAAAUAAGAACGAUGUAAUUUAUUCGGGUAGGGGUUGGCGUGUUUUGCGUUGCUUUUCAGGAUGAGAGUGACGAUUUUAACUUUUUUCUUUUUUUCUUUUUUCUUUCUUUUUUUUUUUUUUAACUUUAAGAAAAUGACUCGGGGGCAGUUGCAGAUAUUUGGCCUGAUUUUAAUAGGCGCGGGGAAUGAGCUCCAGAGGUCAAUAAACCCCUCCAAAAUGAUGAAUGAUUGACUACCUGUGAUGAUGAUAGUGAUUACCGGAGCAAUUAAACAGUUUGAUUAAAUGAGCCAUCAUAACAAUGAUGUCUGCGGGAAAUCAGCCCUCACAUAUAAAGAAAGAUAGCGUGGGGCUGACGGACGCCAGUGGGCAUCCCCCGAGCUCCGGCAGCACCCGGCCCGGCGGCUGCGGGCUGGAGAAGGGGAGAAGUGGCCCCGAUGUCGGCCCCGGUGUCGGCCGGAGCUGCCCUCGUUCGCUUCCCGGAGCCGGGCUCGACCCCGCAGUGCUUUUCUGAGAGGAUCUCCUCCGAGAUUAAAGCUAAAUCCUAAGAGCAACCGAAUGGCUGCGCCUGGCUUUCCCGGGACUGGGAGGAGAGAUCGGCCCCAAAGUCCAAAGAGAAAUGAGGUGUCCGGUGUGGAAGUGCAUCUCAGUCAACAGCCAGCUCCUUUGGCAGGGGCUGGAAAUGGUUUUAACAGGCGGUAAAAUUUCAUCUUGUGGUGUCAAAUUGGGGUCAGUUUGGGGUUAGCGCUCUCAGUGUCCGAGAAGGAGCUGUCCAGCUGUGUGGGGAUUCAUUAAGGGCAAAAGAUCCGUUUCAAGAAAAACAAUACAAAGACAAUCAGAGAGCUAAAGAUCCUCUUCAAAUCGCAUUUUACAAGUGCACCAGAACAAAUAUGGACGCUGAAACCUAUUCCCUUCAAACUCCCAAAUCGGCUUCUUAGCCUUCGGAGGGAGGGAAAAUCCGCUGCAGCCCGGCCGGGUCUGCUUCCAAUCACCGCCCCGAGGUGCGCCGGGCCCCGCGCCGCCCUCACCCGCUCCCCUUUCCCUUUCGGCACAGCGCUGCGGAGCAAUGGCACCACAACAGGAGCUCCGAGAACUUGCACGGAGAGAACGGCGAGCCGGAGCCCACCUGGGAGUUCGGAGCCCUCCGAGCAGAGCGGCCCCGACCCAUCCGUGUAGGGCCGGGUGCUGGUAGCAGUGGGUAACAAAGGGAGGGAUGACCGUAGGGAAUCCUUUCUUAGCUGGUUAGAGCCCUAAGGAAAGCAGAGUGGGAGCAGCAUGGAUGUUCUGUGUCCCCUGUCCCGCAGCCCCCAUGCAGCAGAGUCUGAACUGAUGAUUCUUUUAGCCGUGAGCCCUGAGUUGGUGUAAGCUCGGUGCCAGGCACCCCUCGCUCCUUUUCCUCCCGCGCCCAGCCGGGACGCGGCCAAACUCAGCAAUAAAUCAAUCCACUGCCACAUCGCUCCCUUCUAUCGAGCAAACACUGCGAUCAGCGGGUCACUUCUCCUCCCACCCCACCCGUUGUGAGGCUGACGCUGCUUCACGGGCUAGGGAGACAGACCCGAUGUGCGGGGGUAGGGGGAGGUGGUGGUAUAUCUUUUUUUGUUUGUUUGUUUCCCCCCCCUUUUUUUUUUUUUUCCCUCCCUCUUCUCCCCUUUCCCAGGGAGAUGUACGGUUGAAGAGCCGCUGGAGCGAGCCCGAGUUCCCGGGGAGAAGGAAGGUUGGCCCGUAGAGAGGCAGCCAGCAGCAAAGCAGCCUAUCCUUCUCCGCGGCUUUUUCACGUCCGAAGAGUUUGCGGCGGGGUUUCCCGGCUCCCUGGGGAGGCUCCGCGGGAUGAAGCGGGCAACGGAGAGCCGCGCCUCGGAGGGAGGCUUAGCGCAAGCGGACACGCUCAGGGAGCCUCGGUGACAUCCAGAAGUCCCUUGAAUUUCACAUGUUUUUCCAAUCGCUCAACCCAAAAUAUAUGGUGUCUUCCUUUCCCACCCCCCUCCUUCUUUCUAGGAAUGUGCGUAAUAAAACCUAAUCGCCUGGGACUCUCCUUUCUGCAUCUGCUGGACACGAAGCCGCGGGGGGACAAGGUCCUCUCGGCUCUGAAGCCGAGCUGCUAUGGGACGCCCGGCGGCCUCGGCCACGUCUGCACGUGGGAGACCCCGAAUGAGCCUUUGAGCUACAUUAACUAUCCCGCUGCCGUCUGGGGCUCCCUCGCCAGCAGCAGCUCUCUUCGCCUCCUGCAGCCAUCUCCGAAGUGGAGGUCGGGACACUCACCUCAGGAGCGCAGCUCCUGACCAAGACAAAGUGGUCCGUGGUUCUUUGGAAUGUUGUUAUUCCCUGAAAGGUUGAGCAGGAUGAGUCACAGCAACACCGAGAGAAUGGAGGAUCCAGUUCUUGCAGGACAGAAUGGUCCCAAAGGAUCCAUAAAGAGGAAGAAGAGGAACAGUGUGCAGGCUUAACAAUUUCUCAGACAUCAUUAGGUUUUUCAUGUCAGAAUAAAAUAAUCUGGGUGUCUGCAGUUGCAGUGAACUAGGUGGGAUAUUAUCCCUGCCUUGGCAUUAAAGGGCAGAAACUCUCUUAAUUCCUAUAACUGAAAUGCCUAACCACCUUGCUGUGUUUACAUGCUUCCAUUCACCACAUUUUCCACCACUGAAGUUAGCCAAUAAAGUCAAAGAGUGAAACUCA